AGGUGUGAUGAUGAGACAUGUUUAUCUCGUUUAUCUGAUGAUUUAUGAGGAGAAACGCUUAAAUCCAUUCUCAUAAGUUUCUGAGC